rnacentral:rRNA from 1 species
UANUUUUUUUANAAAUAAAUUUAAUUUACAAAUUUUUAAUUUUUAAUUUUUUUAGUAAAUUUAAAAAUUUAAAAAUUUGAAUAUUUUAAGGGAUAAGCUUUAAGAUAAAUUUUUAAAAAUAUAGAAUAAUUUUAUUAGAAUUGUAUGCUUAGAAUUAGCAAUCAUUUAAAAUUUUGUUAUAAAUUAUUUUAUAAAUUUAUUAUUUAAUAUGUUUUAAUUUAUUUAUAAAAAUUUUUUUAAAAAUUUAUGUUAAAUUUUAAUAAUGAUUUAAUUAGUAUAUAUUAUUGUUGUAAUAAAUUUUAUUGUAAAGUUUAUAUAAAGAACUCGGCAAAUUAAAAUUAUUACUAUACUCGCCUGUUUAACAAAAACAUGUCUUUUUGGGAUUUAUUUAAAGUCUAACCUGCCCACUGAAUUGUUUAAAUGGCCGCAGUAUUUUGACUGUGCAAAGGUAGCAUAAUCAUUAGUCUUUUAAUUGAAGGCUGGAAUGAAUGGUUGGACGAAGUAUAGGCUGUUUCAUAUAAAUUUAUUUUAGAAUUUUAUAUUUUAGUUAAAAAGCUAAAAUUUUAUUAAAAGACGAGAAGACCCUAUAAAUCUUUAUAUUUUAUAUUAUUUAAGUUUUUUAGAAUUUUUUUAUUUUUAUAGAAUAAAAUAUUUUGUUGGGGUGAUGUUAAAAUUUAAUAAACUUUUAAUUUUUAAAAUCAUUAAUUUAUGAAUUAUUGAUCCAUUAAUAUUGAUUAUUAGAUUAAGUUACUUUAGGGAUAACAGCGUAAUUUUUUUUGAGAGUUCAUAUCGACAAAAAAGUUUGCGACCUCGAUGUUGGAUUAAGAUAUAAAUUUGGGUGUAG